rnacentral:rRNA from 1 species
AUUGAACGCUGGCGGCAGGCCUAACACAUGCAAGUCGAGCGGAUGAGUGGAGCUUGCUCCAUGAUUCAGCGGCGGACGGGUGAGUAAUGCCUAGGAAUCUGCCUGGUAGUGGGGGACAACGUUUCGAAAGGAACGCUAAUACCGCAUACGUCCUACGGGAGAAAGUGGGGGAUCUUCGGACCUCACGCUAUCAGAUGAGCCUAGGUCGGAUUAGCUAGUUGGUGAGGUAAAGGCUCACCAAGGCGACGAUCCGUAACUGGUCUGAGAGGAUGAUCAGUCACACUGGAACUGAGACACGGUCCAGACUCCUACGGGCGGCAGCAGUGGGGAAUAUUGGACAAUGGGCGAAAGCCUGAUCCAGCCAUGCCGCGUGUGUGAAGAAGGUCUUCGGAUUGUAAAGCACUUUAAGUUGGGAGGAAGGGCAGUAAGUUACUACCUUGCUGUUUUGACGUUACCAACAGAAUAAGCACCGGCUAACUUCGUGCCAGCCGCCGCCGUAAUAC